ACGGGUGAGUAACGCGUGGGUAACCUGCCUUAUACAGGGGGAUAACAGUCAGAAAUGGCUGCUAAUACCGCAUAAGCGCACAGAGCUGCAUGGCUCAGUGUGAAAAACUCCGGUGGUAUAAGAUGGACCCGCGUUGGAUUAGCUGGUUGGUGAGGUAACGGCCCACCAAGGCGACGAUCCAUAGCCGGCCUGAGAGGGUGAACGGCCACAUUGGGACUGAGACACGGCCCAGACUCCUACGGGAGGCAGCAUG
rnacentral:rRNA from 1 species